rnacentral:rRNA from 1 species
GACGAACGCUGGCGGCGUGCUUAACACAUGCAAGUCGAACGGACAGACAGAGAGCUUGCUCUCUUGAAGUUAGUGGCGAACGGGUGAGUAACGCGUAAUAAACCUGCCCUUCAGAGGGGGAUAACAACGGGAAACCGUUGCUAAUACCGCGUACGAUUCAUGAACGGCAUCGUUUAUGAAUGAAAGGUGGCCUCUAUGUAUAAGCUAUCGCUGAAGGAGGGGAUUGCGUCUGACUAGCUUGUUGGAGGGGUAACGGCCCACCAAGGCAAUGAUCAGUAGCCGGUCUGAGAGGAUGAACGGCCACAUUGGGACUGAGACACGGCCCAAACUCCUACGGGAGGCAGCAGUGGGAAUCUUCCGCAAUGGACGAAAGUCUGACGGAGCAACGCCGCGUGAGUGAUGAGGGUCUUCGGAUUGUAAAGCUCUGUUAAUCGGGACGAAAGAGUUCUGCGUGAAUAAUGCAGAAAAGUGACGGUACCGGAAUAGAAAGCCACGGCUAACUACGUGCCAGCCGCCGCGGUAA